ACCCGGAUGUAGGAGAAUGGAUCUGCAUGUUCAGAAACUAUUACGAAGAUCCUGAUUUCGGAGGAAACGCCAAGUGCCUGCGUUAUAAGAGAUUCGGCAGCUACGAGAACUUUACGACAAACGUCGUCUUCACUUUUGGGGAGCAGGGAACACAGAACACAACCGGAAAGUUCGUGCUAGACUCAUCGCCAUGUUACACAGGAAAGGACAUACAGAGCUUCACUCCCGAUAAUCCUGAUACCCCUCUGGAGGAUUACUACGUAAUUUACGUAGACUGCGCAAGUUGCGUUGUUAUUCGACACCGCUAUGCUGACAACGGU